AUUGAACGCUGGCGGCAGGCCUAACACAUGCAAGUCGAACGAGUGGCGGACGGGUGAGUAAUGUCUGGGAAACUGCCUGAUGGAGGGGGAUAACUACUGGAAACGGUAGCUAAUACCGCAUACCAUCGGAUGUGCCCAGAUGGGAUUAGCUUGUAGGUGAGGUAAAGGCUCACCUAGGCGACGAUCCCUAGCUGGUCUGAGAGGAUGACAAGGCACAUGGGAACUGAGACACGGUCCAGACUCCUCCGGGAGGCAGCAGGGGGGAAUAUGGCACAAUGGUCGCAGUCCUGAUGCAGCCAUGCCGCGGGUAUGAAGAAGGCCUUCGGGUUGUAAAGUACUUUCAGCGGGGAGGCGUUACCCGCAGAAGAAGCACCGGCUAACUCCGUGCCAGCCGCCGCGGUAAUUC
rnacentral:rRNA from 1 species